rnacentral:rRNA from 1 species
UACAGAGGGUGCAAACGUUGCUCGGAAUCAUUGGGCGUAAAGCGCACGUAGGCGGCCAGCAAGCGGGGAGUGAAAGCCCUCGGCUUAACCGAGGAAGUGCUUUCCGAACUACUGGGCUUGAAUACUGGAGAGGGUCGCGGAAUUCCCGGUGUAGAGGUGAAAUUCGUAGAUAUCGGGAGGAACACCAGUGGCGAAGGCGGCGACCUGGACAGAUAUUGACGCUGAGGUGCGAAAGCGUGGGGAGCAAACAGG